GAUGAAGAACGUAGCGAAUUGCGAUAAGUAAUGUGAAUUGCAGAAUUCAGUGAAUCAUCGAAUCUUUGAACGCACCUUGCGCCCUUUGGCUAUUCCGAAGGGCAUGCCUGUUUGAGUAUCAUGAACACCUCAACUCUCAUGGCUUGCUGUGAUGAGCUUGGAAUUUGGGGGUCUUGUUGGCUUGUGAGCCAGCUCCUCCUAAAUGAAUUAGCUUGCCGGUGUUUGGUGGCAUCACAGGUGUGAUAACUAUCUACUCUUGUGGUUUCCCAUCAGGUAACCUCCAGUGAUGGAGGUUCGCUGGGGCUCAUAAAUGUCUCUCCUCCGUGAGGACAGAUUUUGACUGUUUGAUCUCAAAUCAGGUAGGACUACCCGCUGAACUUAAGCAUAUCAAUAAGCGGAGGA
rnacentral:misc_RNA from 1 species